UACGGAGGGUGCGAGCGUUGUCCGGAAUCACUGGGCGUAAAGGGCGCGUAGGCGGCCUGAUAAGUAGGGGGUGAAAUCCUGCGGCUUAACCGCAGGGCUGCCUUCUAAACUGUCAGGCUCGAGCACAGUAGAGGCAGGUGGAAUUCCCGGUGUAGCGGUGGAAUGCGUAGAGAUCGGGAAGAACAUCAGUGGCGAAGGCGGUCUGCUGGGCCGUUGCUGACGCUGAGGCGCGACAGCGUGGGGAGCAAACAGG
rnacentral:rRNA from 1 species